GAAACAUUGGUUAAUGCCGGAUACGCAUGAAGUCGCAUGACUUCGUUGUGAAAGGAGCGUUUGCUCCGCUAAGAGAUGAGGGUGCGGAACAUUAGCUAGUUGGUGAGGUAAUGGCCCACCAAGGCUAUGAUGUUUAGCCGGGUCGAGAGACUGAACGGCCACAUUGGGACUGAGAUACGGCCCAAACUCCUACGGGAGGCAGCAGUAGGGAAUAUUCCACAAUGAGCGAAAGCUUGAUGGAGCGACACAGCGUGCACGAUGAAGGCCCUCGGGUUGUAAAGUGCUGUUGCAAGGGAAGAACAGUUAGUUGAGGAAAUGCUUCUAAUCUGACGGUACCUUGUUAGAAAGCGAUGGCUAACUAUGUGCCAGCAGCCGCGGUAAUACAUAGGUCGCAAGCGUUAUCCGGAAUUAUUGGGCGUAAAGCGUUCGUAGGCUGUUUAUUAAGUCUGGAGUCAAAUCCCAGGGCUCAACCCUGGCUCGCUUUGGAUACUGGUAAACUAGAGUUAGAUAGAGGUAAGCGGAAUUCCAUGUGGAGCGGUGAAAUGCGUAGAUAUAUGGAAGAACACCAAAGGCGAAGGCAGCUUACUGGGUCUAUACUGACGCUGAGGGACGAAAGCGUGGGGAGCAAACAGGAUUAGAUACCCUGGUAGUCCACGCUGUAAACGAUGAUCAUUAGUCGGUGGAAAACUACUGACGCAGCUAACGCAUUAAAUGAUCCGCCUGAGUAGUAUGCUCGCAAGAGUGAAACUUAAAGGAAUUGACGGGGACCCGCACAAGCGGUGGAGCAUGUGGUUUAAUUUGAUGAUACGCGGAGAACCUUACCCACUCUUGACAUCCCCUGCAAAGCUAUAGAGAUAUAGUGGAGGUUAACAGGGUGACAGAUGGUGCAUGGUUGUCGUCAGCUCGUGUCGUGAGAUGUUUGGUCAAGUCCUGCAACGAGCGCAACCCCUAUCUUUAGUUACUAACGAGUCAUGUCGAGGACUCUAGAGAUACUGCCUGGGUAACCGGGAGGAAGGUGGGGAUGACGUCAAAUCAUCAUGCCUCUUACGAGUGGGGCUACACACGUGCUACAAUGGUCGGUACAAAGAGAAGCAAUAUGGCGACAUGGAGCAAAUCUCAAAAAGCCGAUCUCAGUUCGGAUUGAAGUCUGCAAUUCGACUUCAUGAAGUCGGAAUCGCUAGUAAUCGCAGAUCAGCUACGCUGCGGUGAAUACGUUCUCGGGUCUUGUACACACCGCCCGUCGCACCAUGGGAGCUGGUAAUACCCAAAGUCGGUUUGCUAACCUCGGAGGCGACUGCCUAAGGUAGGACUGGUGACUGGGGUUAAGUCGUAACAAGGUAU
rnacentral:rRNA from 1 species